GACGAACGCUGGCGGCGUGCCUAAUACAUGCAAGUAGAACGCUGAAGGAGGAGCUUGCUCUUCUGGAAGAGUUGCGAACGGGUGAGUAACGCGUAGGUAACCUGCCUGGUAGCGGGGGAUAACUAUUGGAAACGAUAGCUAAUACCGCAUAAGAGUAGAUGUUGCAUGACAUUUACUUAAAAGGUGCAAUUGCAUCACUACCAGAUGGACCUGCGUUGUAUUAGCUAGUUGGUGGGGUAACGGCUUACCAAGGCGACGAUACAUAGCCGACCUGAGAGGGGGAUCGGCCACCCUGGGACUGAGACACGGCCCAGACUCCUACGGGAGGCAGCAGUAGGGAAUCUUCGGCAAUGGACGGAAGUCUGACCGAGCAACGCCGCGUGAGUGAAGAAGGUUUUCGGAUCGUAAAGCUCUGUUGUAAGAGAAGAACGAGUGUGAGAGUGGAAAGUUCACACUGUGACGGUAUCUUACCAGAAAGGGACGGCUAACUACGUG
rnacentral:rRNA from 1 species